rnacentral:tRNA from 1 species
UUAAAUGAACCCAAAAAGAGGGCUAUUACUGUUAAUAAUACUAUUGAAUGAUUAAUUCCAUUUAAA